rnacentral:lncRNA from 1 species
UGGUUUAUCAGACUUAGCCACAUCACCCUUAUAAUUCCUAAUGACUUUAAGAUUCAGAAGGAAUUAACAGCACUGUCCAGGGCAAUGUCAUGACAUCCGGUCAGACAUUCUUCUGCUCACUCAGCCUUGCCACACAUCACAGCAUCCUGAUAACUACCUAGUCAUCUGGGAACACAUAGACCACAAGCUUGGUGAUUGCUUGCAGCACAAAGGCACAACUCCCCCUGUCAUGGACAACCUACUCUCUUGGAGGUCAC